rnacentral:rRNA from 1 species
AGUGAACGCUGGCGGUAGGCCUAACACAUGCAAGUCGAACGGCAGCACAGGAGAGCUUGCUCUCUGGGUGGCGAGUGGCGGACGGGUGAGGAAUACAUCGGAAUCUACCUUUUCGUGGGGGAUAACGUAGGGAAACUUACGCUAAUACCGCAUACGACCUACGGGUGAAAGUGGGGGACCGCAAGGCCUCACGCGAUUAGAUGAGCCGAUGUCCGAUUAGCUAGUUGGCGGGGUAAUGGCCCACCAAGGCGACGAUCGGUAGCUGGUCUGAGAGGAUGACCAGCAACACUGGACCGGAGACACGGUCCAGACUCCGACGGGAGGCAGCAGUGGGGAAUAUGGGACAAUGGGCGCAAGCCUGAUCCAGCCAUACCGCGUGGGUGAAGAAGGCCUUCGGGUUGUAAAGCCCUUUUGUUGGGAAAGAAAUCCUGUCGAUUAAUACUCGGUGGGGAUGACGGUACCCAAAGAAUAAGCACCGGCUAACUUCGUGCCAGCAGCCGCCGUAACAC